rnacentral:rRNA from 1 species
GACGAACGCUGGCGGCGUGCUUAACACAUGCAAGUCGAACGGAAAGGCCCUGCUUUCGUGGGGUUUCCGCGUGGCGAACGUGUGUGUUACCCGUGAGUAUCCUUCCUUUUACUUUGGGAUAUCCUCAGGCAACUGGGGCUACUACCUGCUAGGAGCUCCUGCUGCAUGGUGGUGGUCGGACCGCUUCGGCGGUUGGGGAUGUACUCGCGGUUUAUCAGCUUGUUGGUGGGGUAGUGGCUUACCAAGGCUUCGACGGGUAGCCGGCCUGAGAGGGUGAUCGGGGACAUUGCGACUGAGGUAGGGACCAGACUGGUACGGGAGACAGCAGGGGAGAGUAUGGCACAAUGGGCGGGAGCCUGAGGCAGAGGCGCCGCGUGCGGGAUGAAGGCCUUCGGGGUGUAAACCGCUGUAGCCUGUGACGAAGCGGGAGUGACGGUAAUAGGUAAAGAAGCACCGGCUAACUACGUG